CUGGCGGCAGGCCUAACACAUGCAAGUCGAGCGCGCCUUCGGGCGAGCGGCGGACGGGUUAGUAACGCGUGGGAACGUGCCCAGAUCUACGGAAUAGCCACUGGAAACGGUGAGUAAUACCGUAUACGCCCUUCGGGGGAAAGAUUUAUCGGAUUUGGAUCGGCCCGCGUUAGAUUAGGUAGUUGGUGGGGUAACGGCCUACCAAGCCUACGAUCUAUAGCUGGUUUUAGAGGAUGAUCAGCAACACUGGGACUGGGACACGGCCCAGACUCCUACGGGAGGCAGCAGUGGGGAAUCUUGGACAAUGGGGGCAACCCUGAUCCAGCCAUGCCGCGUGAGUGAAGAAGGCCCUAGGGUCGUAAAACUCUUUCGCCUGUGAUGAUAAUGACAGUAGCAGGUAAAGAAACCCCGGCUAACUCCGUGCCAGCAGCCGCGGUAAUACGGAGGGGGUUAGCGUUGUUCGGAAUUACUGGGCGUAAAGCGCACGUAGGCGGAUUAGAAAGUUAGAGGUGAAAUCCCGGGGCUCAACCCCGGAACUGCCUUUAAAACUACUAGUCUAGAGUUCGAGAGAGGUGAGUGGAAUUCCGAGUGUAGAGGUGAAAUUCGUAGAUAUUCGGAGGAACACCAGUGGCGAAGGCGGCUCACUGGCUCGAUACUGACGCUGAGGUGCGAAAGUGUGGGGAGCAAACAGGAUUAGAUACCCUGGUAGUCCACACCGUAAACGAUGAAUGCCAGUCGUCGGGUAGUAUACUAUUCGGUGACACACCUAACGGAUUAAGCAUUCCGCCUGGGGAGUACGGUCGCAAGAUUAAAACUCAAAGGAAUUGACGGGGGCCCGCACAAGCGGUGGAGCAUGUGGUUUAAUUCGAAGC
rnacentral:rRNA from 1 species